rnacentral:rRNA from 1 species
UACGUAGGGGGCAAGCGUUGUCCGGAAUCAUUGGGCGUAAAGAGCGCGUAGGCGGCCCAGUAAGUCCGCUCUGAAAGUCAGGGGCUCAACCCCUGAAUGCGGGUGGAUACUGCUGGGCUAGGGUCCGGAAGAGGCGAGUGGAAUUCCUGGUGUAGCGGUGAAAUGCGCAGAUAUCAGGAGGAACACCAAUGGCGAAGGCAGCACUCUGGGACGUGACUGACGCUGAGACGCGAAAGCGUGGGGAGCAAACAGG